GGAGGGGUGGCUGAGUGGUCGAAGGCGGCGGUCUUGAAAACCGUUGAGGCGAGAGCCUCCGUGGGUUCGAAUCCCACCCCCUCCGCCA
rnacentral:tRNA from 1 species